UACGGAGGGUGCGAGCGUUGUCCGGAAUCACUGGGCGUAAAGCGCGCGUAGGCGGUUCGUUAAGUGGGAUGUGAAAUCCCCGGGCUUAACCUGGGAAUUGCAUUUCAAACUGGCCGACUAGAGUACGGUAGAGGGAGGUAGAAUUUCCUGUGUAGCGGUGAAAUGCGUAGAUAUAGGAAGGAAUGCCAGUGGCGAAGGCGGCCUCCUGGAUCGAUACUGACGCUGAGGCGCGAAAGCGUGGGGAGCAAACAGG
rnacentral:rRNA from 1 species